rnacentral:rRNA from 1 species
GAUUAAGUUAUUAAGGGCGCACGGUGGAUGCCUUGGCACUAGAAGCCGAUGAAGGACGUUACUAACGACGAUAUGCUUUGGGGAGCUGUAAGUAAGCUUUGAUCCAGAGAUUUCCGAAUGGGGAAACCCAGCAUGAGUUAUGUCAUGUUAUCGAUAUGUGAAUACAUAGCAUAUCAGAAGGCACACCCGGAGAACUGAAACAUCUUAGUACCCGGAGGAAGAGAAAGAAAAUUCGAUUCCCUUAGUAGCGGCGAGCGAAACGGGAAGAGCCCAAACCAACAAGCUUGCUUGUUGGGGUUGUAGGACACUCUAUACGGAGUUACAAAGGACGACAUUAGACGAAUCAUCUGGAAAGAUGAAUCAAAGAAGGUAAUAAUCCUGUAGUCGAAAAUGUUGUCUCUCUUGAGUGGAUCCUGAGUACGACGGAGCACGUGAAAUUCCGUCGGAAUUUGGGAGGACCAUCUCCUAAGGCUAAAUACUCUCUAGUGACCGAUAGCGAACCAGUACCGUGAGGGAAAGGUGAAAAGCACCCCGGAAGGGGAGUGAAAUAGAACCUGAAACCGUGUGCUUACAAGUAGUCAGAGCCCGUUAAUGGGUGAUGGCGUGCCUUUUGUAGAAUGAACCGGCGAGUUACGAUUUGAUGCAAGGUUAAGCAGUAAAUGUGGAGCCGUAGCGAAAGCGAGUCUGAAUAGGGCGUUUAGUAUUUGGUCGUAGACCCGAAACCAGGUGAUCUACCCUUGGUCAGGUUGAAGUUCAGGUAACACUGAAUGGAGGACCGAACCGACUUACGUUGAAAAGUGAGCGGAUGAACUGAGGGUAGCGGAGAAAUUCCAAUCGAACCUGGAGAUAGCUGGUUCUCUCCGAAAUAGCUUUAGGGCUAGCCUCAAGUGAUGAUUAUUGGAGGUAGAGCACUGUUUGGACGAGGGGCCCCUCUCGGGUUACCGAAUUCAGACAAACUCCGAAUGCCAAUUAAUUUAACUUGGGAGUCAGAACAUGGGUGAUAAGGUCCGUGUUCGAAAGGGAAACAGCCCAGACCACCAGCUAAGGUCCCAAAAUAUAUGUUAAGUGGAAAAGGAUGUGGCGUUGCCCAGACAACUAGGAUGUUGGCUUAGAAGCAGCCAUCAUUUAAAGAGUGCGUAAUAGCUCACUAGUCGAGUGACACUGCGCCGAAAAUGUACCGGGGCUAAACAUAUUACCGAAGCUGUGGAUUGUCCUUUGGACAAUGGUAGGAGAGCGUUCUAAGGGCGUUGAAGCAUGAUCGUAAGGACAUGUGGAGCGCUUAGAAGUGAGAAUGCCGGUGUGAGUAGCGAAAGACGGGUGAGAAUCCCGUCCACCGAUUGACUAAGGUUUCCAGAGGAAGGCUCGUCCGCUCUGGGUUAGUCGGGUCCUAAGCUGAGGCCGACAGGCGUAGGCGAUGGAUAACAGGUUGAUAUUCCUGUACCACCUAUAAUCGUUUUAAUCGAUGGGGGGACGCAGUAGGAUAGGCGAAGCGUGCGAUUGGAUUGCACGUCUAAGCAGUAAGGCUGAGUAUUAGGCAAAUCCGGUACUCAUUAAGGCUGAGCUGUGAUGGGGAGAAGACAUUGUGUCUUCGAGUCGUUGAUUUCACACUGCCGAGAAAAGCCUCUAGAUAGAAAAUAGGUGCCCGUACCGCAAACCGACACAGGUAGUCAAGAUGAGAAUUCUAAGGUGAGCGAGCGAACUCUCGUUAAGGAACUCGGCAAAAUGACCCCGUAACUUCGGGAGAAGGGGUGCUCUUUAGGGUUAACGCCCAGAAGAGCCGCAGUGAAUAGGCCCAAGCGACUGUUUAUCAAAAACACAGGUCUCUGCUAAACCGUAAGGUGAUGUAUAGGGGCUGACGCCUGCCCGGUGCUGGAAGGUUAAGAGGAGUGGUUAGCUUCUGCGAAGCUACGAAUCGAAGCCCCAGUAAACGGCGGCCGUAACUAUAACGGUCCUAAGGUAGCGAAAUUCCUUGUCGGGUAAGUUCCGACCCGCACGAAAGGCGUAACGAUUUGGGCACUGUCUCAACGAGAGACUCGGUGAAAUCAUAGUACCUGUGAAGAUGCAGGUUACCCGCGACAGGACGGAAAGACCCCGUGGAGCUUUACUGUAGCCUGAUAUUGAAAUUCGGCACAGCUUGUACAGGAUAGGUAGGAGCCUUUGAAACGUGAGCGCUAGCUUACGUGGAGGCGCUGGUGGGAUACUACCCUAGCUGUGUUGGCUUUCUAACCCGCACCACUUAUCGUGGUGGGAGACAGUGUCAGGCGGGCAGUUUGACUGGGGCGGUCGCCUCCUAAAAGGUAACGGAGGCGCUCAAAGGUUCCCUCAGAAUGGUUGGAAAUCAUUCAUAGAGUGUAAAGGCAUAAGGGAGCUUGACUGCGAGACCUACAAGUCGAGCAGGGUCGAAAGACGGACUUAGUGAUCCGGUGGUUCCGCAUGGAAGGGCCAUCGCUCAACGGAUAAAAGCUACCCCGGGGAUAACAGGCUUAUCUCCCCCAAGAGUUCACAUCGACGGGGAGGUUUGGCACCUCGAUGUCGGCUCAUCGCAUCCUGGGGCUGUAGUCGGUCCCAAGGGUUGGGCUGUUCGCCCAUUAAAGCGGUACGCGAGCUGGGUUCAGAACGUCGUGAGACAGUUCGGUCCCUAUCCGUCGUGGGCGUAGGAAAUUUGAGAGGAGCUGUCCUUAGUACGAGAGGACCGGGAUGGACAUACCUCUGGUGUACCAGUUGUCGUGCCAACGGCAUAGCUGGGUAGCUAUGUGUGGACGGGAUAAGUGCUGAAAGCAUCUAAGCAUGAAGCCCCCCCUCAAGAUGAGAUUUCCCAACUUCGGUUAUAAGAUCCCUCAAAGAUGAUGAGGUUAAUAGGUUCGAGGUGGAAGCAUGGUGACAUGUGGAGCUGACGAAUACUAAUCGAUCGAAGACUUAAUCAA